UGGGGAGCAAACAGGAUUAGAUACCCUGGUAGUCCACGCCCUAAACGAUGUCGACUGGUUGUUGGGCAACUUGAUUGUUCAGUAACGAAGCUAACGCGAGAAGUCGACCGCCUGGGGAGUACGGUCGCAAGAUUAAAACUCAAAGGAAUUGACGGGGACCCGCACAAGCGGUGGAUGAUGUGGAUUAAUUCGAUGCAACGCGAAAAACCUUACCUACCCUUGACAUGUACGGAAGCCUGCUGAGAGGUGGGCGUGCCUGAAAGGGAACCGUAACACAGGUGCUGCAUGGCUGUCGUCAGCUCGUGUCGUGAGAUGUUGGGUUAAGUCCCGCAACGAGCGCAACCCUUGUCAUUAAUUGCCAUCAUUAAGUUGGGCACUUUAAUGAGACUGCCGGUGACAAACCGGAGGAAGGUGGGGAUGACGUCAAGUCCUCAUGGCCCUUAUGGGUAGGGCUUCACACGUCAUACAAUGGCCGGUACAGAGGGUUGCCAACCCGCGAGGGGGAGCCAAUCUCAGAAAGCCGGUCGUAGUCCGGAUUGUUCUCUGCAACUCGAGAGCAUGAAGUCGGAAUCGCUAGUAACCGCGGAUCAGCAUGUCGCGGUGAAUACGUUCCCGGGUCUUGUACACACCGCCCGUCACACCAUGGGAGUGGGUGAUACCAGAAGUAGGCAGUCUAACCGCAAGGGGGGCGCUUACCACGGUAUGAUUCAUGACUGGGGUGA
rnacentral:rRNA from 1 species